rnacentral:sRNA from 1 species
CGGUCUCAAUCUGUGUAGGGCUGAUGUAAUGGAUGUGUGUAUCAAUACCUCCUGGUGUAACAAUAUAUCCAGCACCACCAUGUACCUCUGUAGAUGCGCCAAUAAUCAUGUUGGGUGUAAUAUUGUCCAUGGUAUCAGGGUUCCCUGCGCGCCCCACACCGACAAUCUUACCAUCUUUGAUACCGAUAUCACCUUUUACUAUUCCCCAGUGGUCAAUCACAAUGGCACCGGUGAUGACCAAAUCUAAUGUUCCUUCAUCACGCUUCUGAAUGGAAGACUGACACAUCCCGUCACGUACCG